AGGGUAGUCAAGCUCCCAAGACUCCAGACACAUCCACAGGAGGCACUGCGCAUGGCAGUCCGCCUUUCUGA
rnacentral:snRNA from 1 species